rnacentral:rRNA from 1 species
GACGAACGCUGGCGGCGUGCUUAACACAUGCCAGUCGAACGGAAAGGCCCUGCUUGCAGGGUGCUCGAGUGGCGAACGGGUGAGUAACACGUUGGUGAUCUGCCCCUUACUUUGGGAUAAGCCUGGGAAACUGGGUCUAAUACUGGAUAGGACCAUGCUGUAGGUGGUGUGGUGGAAAGAUUAGUUUCGGUAAGGGAUGAGCUCGCGGCCUAUCAGCUUGUUGGUGGGGUAUUGGCCUACCAAGGCGUAGACGGGUAGCCGGCCUGAGAGGAAAGGCGGCAACAUUGCGACUGCGAGAGCAGCCAGAGUCGUACGGGAGGCAGCAGUGGGGAAUAUUGCACAACGGGCGCAUGCAGGAUGCAGGGACGGCGCGUGGGGGAGGACGGCAUUCGGGUUGUAAACUCCUUUCAGCCAUGACGAAGCCCUUGUGGUGACGGUAGUGGUAGAAGAAGCACCGGCUAACUACGUG